UGGUGGGUAGUUUGACUGGGGCGGUCUCCUCCCAAAGCGUAACGGAGGAGCACGAAGGUGGGCUAAUCACGGUUGGACAUCGUGAGGUUAGUGCAAUGGCAUAAGCCCGCUUGACUGCGAGAAUGACAAUUCGAGCAGGUGCGAAAGCAGGUCAUAGUGAUCCGGUGGUUCUGAAUGGAAGGGCCAUCGCUCAACGGAUAAAAGGUACUCCGGGGAUAACAGGCUGAUACCGCCCAAGAGUUCAUAUCGACGGCGGUGUUUGGCACCUCGAUGUCGGCUCAUCACAUCCUGGGGCUGAAGUCGGUCCCAAGGGUAUGGCUGUUCGCCAUUUAAAGUGGUACGCGAGCUGGGUUUAGAACGUCGUGAGACAGUUCGGUCCCUAUCUGCCGUGGGCGUUGGAGAAUUGAAAGGGGCUGCUCCUAGUACGAGAGGACCGGAGUGGACGAACCUCUGGUGUUCGGGUUGUGUCGCCAGACGCAUUGCCCGGUAGCUAAGUUCGGGAUCGAUAACCGCUGAAAGCAUCUAAGCGGGAAGCGAGCCUUGAGAUGAGUUCUCCCUGAUACUUUAAGUAUCCUAAAGGGUUGUCGUAGACUACGACGUUGAUAGGCAGGGUGUGUAAGCGUUGUGAGGCGUUGAGCUAACCUGUACUAAUUGCCCGUGAGGCUUAACCAU
rnacentral:rRNA from 1 species